CAUUUACCUCAACUCUUCUCUCGUACAGCUCUCUGAAUGAUAGAAAGAAACAACCAAAGUUCUCGUAUUUGAUCAAGUUUUGUUUUGAGCUAUAUCAUGGCUGCUUGUGAAUUAUUAUUUUGCGUGUUUUAUUUAAAUCAGUGAUCUGCAGCCUAAUUAAAGAUUAAAUUAUUGAAGCACGCAUUUUUAAAUAAGUAAAACGUAAAAUAAAAGUUUUCUAAAGCCAAAAUAUGGAAUUGAAGAGGGUGAUAAAGUAAUACUUCAUCGCACUGUCAAUUCGAAGCACGCAAUAGAAACUACGCCAGCAAUGGUCAACAUCAAGGGCGAAACCAUUGAAUACGUAAAUAAUUGUUGAAUAUAAUAAUAUUAUCUGGCCUUAAAUUCUAAUUAAUUUUCCAUACAGAUAUUUUAAACCUCAUACGGCCCGUUAAAGGUACGCAACCUAAUUGGUGUCUGUUAUGGUAGCAGCAUAGAACUUUCGAAGCGAUGGAAUAUGUGCUGCAAGCAAUUCCAGAACUAUGGAUGCAAUCGCUGCUACAUCGAACACAAAUCAUUUACACACCAGAUAUUAGGUUUAAUGUCACUUUUUUACGUGCAAUUAAACCUUUUGGUCAACACAAGCACGUGAAGAAUUGGAACGACGUGGUUUGGGUGCUUUUGUUACGUUUAUCAUCGCGACGUGUGUUAACUGGGUUUUGCCAAUGAUCUAGAGGGCAAAGCAGCGGCAGUAUUUUUGAACUUACCGGCACCUCAGUUGGUCGUGCCAUUAGCAGCUAAAGCACAGAAAUUAAAGGGAGGACUUUUUUGAUUCAUUUUCACCAUGUAUUGAGGAAUCAUAACGUUGUUGUAUCGCUUUACAAGGACAUGGAUUCACCGAAAUUAGUUCAGUGGAAACACUACAGCAAGAGCAUGGAUGUUAAGACUAGAACGUUGCCCGUGCUAGAUUUAGAAUUCCUGAAACAUAAGAAACCCUCCUCCAAGAAAUUGGAUGAAUCUAGUACUAGUAAAACUAAUGAAAGAACAGAUCUUACAAAAACUCCUAUAUAAACCAAAAGAGUCCUCACAUAAUGUGCACAGCUUACACUUCCAGGCCGCACGGGGUAUUUGUAGGGAUGCAAACGAUGUAUCGAUGUUUCUGAAACAUCAAUGUUUUCGUCAAAAAGCAUCGAUGUUAGCCAUCGAUGUUGUGAUUCUAAAAAUAUCGAUACAUCGAUGUCACUUUCAACGAUGUUUUAUGUCGAUGUUUUUUUCAAAUUUUACUCCACAUCUUUGCAGCACUUUUUCUCGGUAUUAAUGCGAAAACAUCUGCUACGGAGAAUUCGUUGGUUGAAUGUGCACUUGAAUAAUAUGGAGAAUUCGUUGGUUGAAUGUGCACUUGAAUAAUACUGAGAAUUCGCUUAUGAAUUAAUGCGAAAUAAGUUUUACAAAAAAUCGAAAAUACAUUUUGUGUGACAGUCUAUUUCGUGCUAUGUGUGUUAGAAGUUGUUUUUGAGCGUUUAAUAUAAGUGUUGUUUCGAAUUCAUCUGUUAUCAAUCACAACUUUAUUACAGAUUUUCAAAAUGCUGCCUUCAAAAUUAAAAAGCAGGGUCUGGAGCUUCUUUAUAAGAAAUUCAGAUGCUUCAGAUGCUGAUAAUAAUUCAACCAUGAUGAAAUUAAAUAGAAGCUUGUUUGGCGAAAAAAAAUAAUACCCUGCUUCGCACACACGCUUAAUUUGGUUGUAACGCAAUCAAUAGAUAAGUCCACGGAAGUAUCAGCUUUGAUAACUAAGGUGCGCGACAUUGUUAAGUUUAUUAAAAGAAGUGUUAAUGCCAGUGAUCAAUUGCGGCAGAAACAAAUAGACACCGGGGCUUCUACAAGUAAUACCAAGAAAAUGAUUCUUGACGUAAGAACGCGAUGGAAUUCAUGUUUUUAUAUGCUAGAGAGAUUUGUCCAGUUAGCCCCUAUUUUAAGUGAAGUACUGCUCACUCGCCCAGAAGCACCCUCUAUGGUUAAUGCCUCCGAGCUGAACAAAAUUAAGGAGCUGAUUGAAUUAUUAAAGUGUUUUGAAAUUGUGACCAGGGAGAUUUCGGCUGAUACCUACGUUACCAUUAGCAAGGUUAUACCUUUGGUAAGCUGUUUAACUGAAGCUCUGACAAAAAUUUCAGCUCAAGAUGCUAUUGUAGGGGAGCUAAAA